AGAAACCAUUCCGUUUUUAUUUGUGGAACUGGGAGCCACAUUUUGUAUGUGUGGCUGUAAAAGCAGCAAGCCUGUCUUAAUGGCAGAACACCUGGAAUUAAUUUGAUAUUUCCAGGUGCUCUGGCAAACUGGGACAUCAAGCACUUGAUGUUUAAACAUUCUUCCACUGGCUUGCUUAAAUCAAUAUGAAAGUGGUGUCCCUUUGUCAUUCAUACAUGCAAAGUGCUAGCACAAACUCCAGCUUGGCUUCAGAGUCCUACAUCACUCAUAAUCUAAUUAGAAAUCAGAGCAGAGCUGAAGCAGCAUUCUUUGUGGAUUCUUGGGCAGCAAAUAGGGAUACUUGUCUUUUGUUUCCCUCCUCGAUUGCAUCGUUCACAAGCUUUCACACCACAUCUCUAAAGGUGGUUAGGUGCCUCAAGAUGUUGACAGGCAUGAAGGACAAGAUUAUUUAGGUGCCUAACCCGGGUGAUUUCAAAUGGAAUUAAGCAACUGGAUGUUACUAGGCUGGGAGGGGGGAUGGUGGUGGUGUGGGGGAAAAAAAAAAGCGGCCAGUGCAUAUUAAAAGCUCUAAUUUGUUGUCCUAAACUCUAGCAACGUGGGUGAUGUUUUUCCAGGGUAAAGUUGCCUGCAGGGUCGAUUUGCUGAAGCCUGUUAAUUUCUCCUGAGGUCAGUGGGCACGGGGUGCUGGGCAGUGCAGCCUCUCCUGGCCGGGCACGGUGGUCGCGUGUGCUCCUGCUGCUUCCCAAGAGACAGGGGCAGUAAUGAAGAACGUGGAGUUUCCCACAGGAAUUUGGAAGAUGCCCAUGUCUAAGAGAAUGGUGAGGAUUGGGCCAAAAUCCAGAUCCAGCCUUGAUUCCUUCAUCCAAGUAAGCCUGUGUUGAGCCACGACUGCUGACGGAGCGCAGCGUCCUCUCUCCUCACUGCCCUGCAUCACAUCACCAGGAGCACCUGAGAGUACUGGAUGAGCCACCACAAGGCUGUGAUUGGAAAGUGUGGGGACCAAGCACUCAGGGAGAUGCUGAUGCAGCUGGUUCCCUGGCCCUGGGCUGUGGGUCAGCUUUUGCUCAUGGCAGAAGCCACCAGAGGCCAGAGAAACAUCGUGGGGACAGUUUCUGUCUUGGCUACUCAUCAGUGCUUUGAGCUGCACGAAGCCCUGAGAACCAAGGCAACACGAGUGCACCACCAGGGGUUUGCUCCUCUCAUGGUCUACACCUGAAGCACAGCAUAAAGUUCCACCCUUUGCUUCUGCAGCAAGUUCUUGUUACCCAGUUCCCACUGACAACAGGGGAAGAGGCACAAGCAAGCUCAGAAAAUGAACGACUAGAAGACUCAGUGAUACUGAACCAUCCCAGUUCCUGCUUUCAGGCUGGAGUCACAAGCUGGACUUGGAAGAAGAAACUUCCAUGCAGAUAUGUGACUGCAGUGUGAAUACUGUGCCAGGCAGCAGGGGUACAGGAAGGGGUGUUUGAAACCACGCAGUCAUUUCCACCCUGGGUUUCAUGAGGAGUUAUUCUUGUCUCAGAGAUGACGCAUUCAAAUAUCCCUCUAUGGAUUCCAGUUCUCAGGCCAAGGGGUCAUGGAUGAUGACAGCUCACAUCGACUUUGGAGCUGUUGUAUCUUUUAAGAGAAAUCAGGAAGAUGAGUUGGGAGAGAUGCUUUACUUUCUU